GAGGGGUAGAAGUUUUGCUUUAGUUACAAGAAUGCCAUGCAGCCAGCGUGCUAGACCUGGUGGCUUCCACAUCUCAUAGAUUCAGAUGUACCAGGAUAAGAGGCGUGAAGAACUGGUGCCCACUAACACUUGGUCAACCUGUAGCUGGUCUACAGGCAUUGUUGGAGGUGCGACAGCCUAACCACCAGCCCUUCUGUAUAAGAGCUCUGAUGUUGCAGACUACCCGAGGACAGACAAGGCCCAUUCCAACGGUACUGGGACUGAAAGAUGUCAACAAAACAAUAUAUCCAUUCACAUCCAUCACCAGUAAUUGGGGGGAAACUGGAGAGUAUGCUGGCUUUUAGAGUCAUUUGCUGGUUUGAAUUCCCCAGGUGACAUGGUAAAAUUACUGCCUUUAGCAAGGCACCUAACCCUAAAUAAAUUACUCAAAUGUAAAGAUUUGUGCAGACUGACAGUGGGUGGGACAAUGAAUACAAAAAUUAAAAACGGCCUUGCUGCUUAAAGAAAGUGUAAUAACCAGACAAACUGCACAGUAUCAGUUUGUUUUCUGGUUACUCAUGAGGCCCAUAUUUGAUAUUUUGCCACAACAUGGUUUUAAACCCAUUCUAUCAGUGCCAUAGUAUCUGUAGUGACCAGUCAAGACUCCUGUUUGACAUCCUGUGGAAGAUUUAGUCCUAUUUACUGUUUUUAUUUUUUGGUGAUUCAUAUUUUACUAAUGCAGAGGGAGUUCAGGGCACAAGAGUUUAUCCAGGCAGUGCUCGUAAAAGCAAGGUUGCCUAGCAACAUGGUAUAGAGAAGUGCUGAAUUAGACUGGUCAGAUAGACCCUGAGCCAAGAACACUGACCAUGGGUGUGUCCGGAGAAGAGGGAACUUGGGAGGUUUUUUUCAUGUUUCAUAAAAAAAAGAUUCCUAAACUGUAUUUCGUUUUCAUAUGCUUAUGCCAUGCACUGAUGUCAUACGUUGCUGAACACUGUAACAACUGUUAUA